rnacentral:rRNA from 1 species
UACGAAGGGGGCUAGCGUUGUUCGGAUUUACUGGGCGUAAAGGGCGCGUAGGCGGGCGACUAAGUCAGGGGUGAAAUCCCAAGGCUCAACCUUGGAACUGCCUUUGAUACUGGUUGUCUUGAGUCCGGGAGAGGUGAGUGGAACUGCGAGUGUAGAGGUGAAAUUCGUAGAUAUUCGCAAGAACACCAGUGGCGAAGGCGGCUCACUGGCCCGGAACUGACGCUGAGGCGCGAAAGCGUGGGGAGCAAACAGG